CGAGGAAUAUUGGUCAAUGGGCGCAAGCCUGAACCGGCCAUGCCGCGUGCAGGAUGAAGCAUCUAUGGUGUGUAAACUGCUUUUGUACGGGAAGAAACCACCCCUCGUGAGGGGUAUUGACGGUACCGUAAGAAUAAGGAUCGGCUAACUCCGUGCCAGCAGCCGCGGUAAUACGGAGGAUCCAAGCGUUAUCCGGAAUCAUUGGGUUUAAAGGGUCCGUAGGCGGUUUAAUAAGUCAGUGGUGAAAGCCCAUCGCUCAACGAUGGAACGGCCAUUGAUACUGUUAGACUUGAAUUACAAGGAAGUAACUAGAAUAUGUAGUGUAGCGGUGAAAUGCUUAGAUAUUACAUGGAAUACCAAUUGCGAAGGCAGGUUACUACUAAUGGAUUGACGCUGAAGGACGAAAGCGUGGGGAGCGAACA
rnacentral:rRNA from 1 species